rnacentral:rRNA from 1 species
CAGUACACGCCUUAACAAGGUGAAACCGCGAACGGCUCAUUAUAACAGCUAUAAUUUACUUGACCUUGACCAGUUACUUGGAUAACUGUGGUAAUUCUAGAGCUAAUACAUGCACCGAAGUUGUUCCUCGCGGAGCAAUGCAUUUAUUUGAGCAAAACCAGGCGGCUUCGGCCGUUUCUGUUGAAUCAGAAUAACUAAGCUGAUCGCAUGGGCUUGUCCCGGCGACGUGUCUUUCAAGUGUCUGCCUUAUCAACUUUCGAUGGUAGUGUACGUGACUACCAUGGUGUUGACGGGUAACGGAGGAUAAGGGUUCGACUCCGGAGAAGGGGCCUGAGAAAUGGCCACUACGUCUAAGGAUGGCAGCAGGCGCGCAAAUUACCCACUCUCGGUUCGAGGAGGUAGUGACGAAAAAUAACAAGGCCGUUCUCUUUGAGGCCGGCCAUUGGAAUGGGUACAACUUAAACCCUUUAACGAGUAUCAAUGAGAGGGCAAGUCUGGUGCCAGCAGCCGCGGUAAUUCCAGCUCUCAAAAUGCAUAGAACCAUUGCUGCGGUUAAAAAGCUCGUAGUUGGAUCUGUGCCGGCGACGUGGUCCGCCCUAACGGGAGGUACUGCGCUCGUCGGCUUUGGGCCGGUUUUCGGUCGGUCGCCUUAACUGGCGGCCGCUCGUGGCUGGCUGGUUUACUUUGAGCAAAUCAGAGUGCUCAGCACAGGCGUCUCGCCGGAAUGUUCGUGCAUGGAAUAAUAGAAAAGGAUUUCGGUCCUCUUUUAUUGGUUUUGUGGACUGAGAUAAUGGUUAACAGAGACGGACGGGGGCAUUCGUAUUGCUGCGUGAGAGGUGAAAUUCUUGGACCGCAGCAGGACGGACUACAGCGAAAGC